rnacentral:rRNA from 1 species
AUUGAACGCUGGCGGCAGGCCUAACACAUGCAAGUCGAACGAGUGGCGGACGGGUGAGUAAUGUCUGGGAAACUGCCCGAUGGAGGGGGAUAACUACUGGAAACGGUAGCUAAUACCGCAUACCAUCAGAUGUGCCCAGAUGGGAUUAGCUUGUCGGUGGGGUAACGGCUCACCAAGGCGACGAUCCCUAGCUGGUCUGAGAGGAUGAUCAGUCACACUGGAACUGAGGCACGGUCCAGACGCCUACGGGAGGCAGCAGUGGGGAAUAUUGGACAAUGGGCGAAAGCCUGAUGCAGCCAUGCCGCGUGUGUGAAGAAGGUCUUCGGGUUGUAAAGCACUUUCAGUUGGGAGGCGUUACCGACAGAAGAAGCACCGGCUAACUCCGUGCCAGCAGCCGCGGUAAUUC